rnacentral:rRNA from 1 species
GACGAAGGAUGCAAGCGUUAUCCGGAUUCAUUGGGUUUAAAGGGUGCGUAGGCGGCCAGAUAAGUCAGUGGUGAAAUCCUGUUGCUUAACAACAGAACUGCCAUUGAUACUGUUUGGCUUGAGUACAGUUGCUGUGGGCGGAAUAUGACAUGUAGUGGUGAAAUACAUAGAGAUGUCAUAGAACACCGAUUGCGAAGGCAGCUCACAAAACUGUAACUGACGCUGAGGCACGAAGUGCGGGGAUCAAAACAGGAUUAGAGUACCCGAG